GGAUUAGAUACCCUGGUAGUCCACGCCGUAAACGAUGUCUACUAGCCGUUGGGGAGCUUGACUCCUUAGUGGCGCAGCUAACGCACUAAGUAGACCGCCUGGGGAGUACGGUCGCAAGAUUAAAACUCAAAUGAAUUGACGGGGGCCCGCACAAGCGGUGGAGCAUGUGGUUUAAUUCGAUGCAACGCGAAGAACCUUACCAAGGCUUGACAUACAGAGAAUUCGCUAGAGAUAGCUUAGUGCCUUCGGGAACUCUGAUACAGGUGCUGCAUGGCUGUCGUCAGCUCGUGUUG
rnacentral:rRNA from 1 species